rnacentral:rRNA from 1 species
UGGCUAACUCCUACGGGAGGCAGCAUUGGGGAAUUUUGGACAAUGGGCGCAAGCCUGAUCCAGCCAUUCCGCGUGCAGGACGAAGGCCUUCGGGUUGUAAACUGCUUUUGUACGGAACGAAAAGGCUCUGGCUAAUACCUGGGGCUCAUGACGGUACCGUAAGAAUAAGCACCGGCUAACUACGUGCCAGCAGCCGCGGUAAUACGUAGGGUGCAAGCGUUAAUCGGAAUUACUGGGCGUAAAGCGUGCGCAGGCGGUUAUGUAAGACAGAGGUGAAAUCCCCGGGCUCAACCUGGGAACUGCCUUUGUGACUGCAUAGCUGGAGUACGGCAGAGGGGGAUGGAAUUCCGCGUGUAGCAGUGAAAUGCGUAGAUAUGCGGAGGAACACCGAUGGCGAAGGCAAUCCCCUGGGUCUGUACUGACGCUCAUGCACGAAAGCGUGGGGAGCAAACAGGAUUAGAUACCCCAGUAGUCCAGCUGG